UCAAUGGGGGUCAAUGGAGAUCAAUGGGGUCAAUGGAGAUCAAUGGGGUAAAUGGGGUCAAUGGGAUCCAAUGGGGGUCAAUGGGGUGAGAGCAAUGGGGGCUGGACACAAAGGGCACCAAUGGGAUCCAGUGCGGGUCAAUGGGGAUCAAUGGGGUCAAUGGGAUCCAAUGGGGGGUCAAUGGAAUCAAUGGGGUCAAUGGGAUCCAAUGGGGGUCAAUGGGGAUCAAUGGGAUCCAAUGGGGGUCAAUGGGGAUCAAUGGGGUCAAUGGGAUCCAAUGGGGGGUCAAUGGGAUCAAUGGGGUCAAUGGGAUCCAUUGGGGGUCAAUGGGGAUCAAUGGGGUCAAUGGGAUCCAAUGGGGAUCAAUGGGGUCAAUGGGAUCCAAUGGGGGGUCAAUGGGAUCAAUGGGGUCAAUGGGAUCCAAUGGGGGUUCAAUGGGAUCAAUGGGGUCAAUGGGAUCCAAUGGGGGUCAAUGGGGAUCAAUGGGGGUCAAUGGGGUGAGGACCACCUCGAUCACGUCCAUGAUCAGGAUCUGGGGGGGAUCAAUGGGGUCAAUGGGGAUCAAUGGGGGUCAAUGGGGAUCAAUAGGGAUCAGGGUGGGUUAAUUGGGGUCAAUGGGGAUCAUUGGGGUAAAUGGAGAUCAAUGGGGUCAAUGGGGAUCAAUGGAGAUCACUUGGGGUAAAUAAGGGUCAAUAGGGUCAAUGGGGGUCAAUGGGGAACAAUGGGGGUCAAUGGGGAACAAUGGAGAUCAAUGGGGUCAGUGGGGAUCAGUGGAGAUCACUUGGGGUAAAUAAGGGUCAAUAGGGUCAAUAGGGUCAAUGGGGGGCAAUGGGGAACAAUGGGGAACAAUGGGGGUCAAUGGGCAUAUAGUGGACAAUGGACAGCCCCAUACAGUCCCAUACAGUCUCAUACAGCCAUAUACAACCCCAUACAGUCCCCAUACAGCCCCAUACAAUCCCCAUACAGCCCCAUACAGCCCCAUACAAUCCCAUACAGCCCCAUACAGUCCCAUACAGCCCCAUACAGCCCCAUACAGUCCCAUACACCCCAUACAGCCCCAUACAAUCCCAUACAGCCCCAUAGAGCCCCAUAGAGCCCCAUACAGUCCCAUACAGUCCCAUACAAUCCCAUACAGCCCCAUACAAUCCCAUACAGCCCCAUACAAUCCCAUACAGCCCCAUACAGUCCCAUACAGCCCCAUACAAUCCCAUACAGUCCCAUACAGAGCCAUACAGUCCCUAUACAUCCCCACACAGUCCCAUUACAGUCGCAUACAAUCCCAUUACAGUCGCAUACAAUUGCCCCAUACCCAAUCGCAAUACAAAUCCCAUACAGCCCCAUACAGUCCCAUACAAGAUCGCAUACAAUCCCAUUACAGACCCCAUCAGUCCCUAUACAUCCCCACCACAGUCCCAUUACAGCCCCAUACAGCCCCAACAAUCCCAACAAGCCCCAUACAGUCCAUACAGCCCCAUACAAUCCCAUACAGCCCCAUACAAUCCAUACAGUCCCAUUACAGUCCCAUACAGGCCUAUACAGCCCCAGUACAGCCCAUAGAGCCCCCAUAGAGCCCCAUCAGCCCCAUUAUUGACCCGCAUACAGCCCCAUACAGCCCCACACAGCCCCAUAGAGCCCCAUACAGCCCCAUACAGCCCCAUACAGCCCUAAAAAAAGCCUCAUACAGCCCAUACAGCCCCCCAUACACCCCAUACAGCCCCAUACAGCCCAUACAGGCCCCAUUACAGCCCCAUACAGCCCAUAUUGGACCCAAGCUCACCCUUGCCCCUACACGUGAC
rnacentral:lncRNA from 1 species